rnacentral:lncRNA from 1 species
GCUUAAUGAAGAUUUUCUGUGGAGGAGGAGGUGCCACCAUAGUAGGAAUUCUGGUCAGCAGUGAGAGGUAGAAAGUAUUCUGCUAUCAAUGAAAUCAACAAAAUACAAGGAACUCAGGGCUGUGUCUUUGUCUAUUUCAUCAUAAAACUGUCCCGGAUGGGGAGCGGAGCAUCCUAUGUGGGAUUCCAUGGAGGGCUGUGGAAGUCUGUGCACAUUGAUGAACUCCGGAGGUCCACAGUCAUGGCCUCUGAUGUGACUAAGCUGCAGAGCGUCACCAUCAGCCAGCUGUUCAUGCCAGGAGGCAGCCUAAAGCGUGAGUUGCAAUGUGGCUGUCUGCGGAGGUAGAGGCACAGAAGUAGGUGGAAGGUGCCAAGUUAGGCAGCCUCCUGUGAAGCUGGAGUCAGGGCUGCCACAUUUGAGUCACCUUUGAGUCGUGGUACCUGCCCUCAGCAGGAACUCAGGAUGUGGCACUGAACUGCCUGGCUCAUGGUCAACAUAACCAGAGCCUUGGGAAGGCCAACAGCAGUACCCAGUGUAUCAGUUGGUGUGCUGUGGAUCAUGUGCCAGCCCUCAUCCCAGGAUCUGGGGCACCUGAAGAGUGGGUUUUAUGCUGAUCUAUAUGACAGUCCUCCUUUUGACUGGGACUGCCACUGAAGCUUGGGACAGGAAACCCUGGAGAGGCCCAUCCUAGGCACUUGGUACCACCCACCCACUUCCUUAUCCAAGUGGUGACUUGAUUGUAUUCCCUUCAUUUGCAGCGAAAGGAAACCAGGACAAGGUGAUGGAGGCAGAGAUCAGCAAGUCAGGGGAGGUGGCAGAAAUGGAAAUGGAAGAGGCACAGGUCCUGGACACCACCAGACUGCUGAGGAGCUGUGUGCAAAGUGCCGUGGGGAUGCUCAGGGACCAGGAGAGCUGCCCGCGCAACAUGAGGAGAGUCACCAUCCUCCUCAGCCUCUUGAAUGGGGACAGUGUGUGCAGUGCCUCGUUCUUGCGGGUAUCUAAGAUGCGCCUCUCCUUCCUUCUAAAGAAGCAAGAAGAGAACCAGCUCUGCAGUCUGAAGGAGUGGGUGGGGCGAGAGGCUGCGAACCAGGAUGCACUCCAGGAGUCCGGCACCUUCAGGUACUGCAAGCAGUGGGCAGUGCAGGGACCUAGUAUACCAUCCCAGGGGAAGGAGCACACCAGGUGUUUCUUUCUCCACCUCUGAGGAGGGCAGAGCUAUGUUUUUGCUCCAAGAUCCCCAAACAGACCUGGAUGGU